rnacentral:rRNA from 1 species
UGGGGAAUCUUCCGCAAUGGGCGAAAGCCUGACGGAGCAACGCCGCGUGAGGGUCGAAGGCCUCUGGGCUGUAAACCUCUUUUCUCAAGGAAGAAGAUAUGACGGUACUUGAGGAAUAAGCCACGGCUAAUUCCGUGCCAGCAGCCGCGGUAAUACGGGAGUGGCAAGCGUUAUCCGGAAUUAUUGGGCGUAAAGCGUCCGCAGGCGGCUUUUCAAGUCUGCUGUUAAAGCGUGGAGCUUAACUCCAUCAUGGCAGUGGAAACUGAGAGGCUUGAGUAUGGUAGGGGCAGAGGGAAUUCCCGGUGUAGCGGUGAAAUGCGUAGAUAUCGGGAAGAACACCAGUGGCGAAGGCGCUCUGCUGGGCCAUUACUGACGCUCAUGGACGAAAGCCAGGGGAGCGAAAGGGAUUAGAUACCCCUGUAGU